UACAGAGGGCCCAAGCGUUAAUCGGAAUCACUGGGCUUAAAGGGUGCGCAGGCGGACCUGUAAGUGCUUUGUGAAAUCCCACUGCUCAACGGUGGAAUUGCUCGGCAAACUACAGGUCUUGAGCCCGACAGGGGUCGUCGGAACGCUAGGUGGAGCGGUGAAAUGCGUAGAUAUCUAGCGGAACGCCAAAGGUGAAGACAGACGACUGGGUCGGCGCUGACGCUCAGGCACGAAAGCGUGGGGAGCAAACGGG
rnacentral:ncRNA from 2 species